GAACGCUGGCGGCAUGCUUUACACAUGCAAGUCGAACGGCAGCGCGGGGAGCUUGCUCCCUGGCGGCGAGUGGCGCACGGGUGAGUAAUACAUCGGAACGUGUCUUCUAGUGGGGGAUAACUGCCCGAAAGGGCAGCUAAUACCGCAUGAGACCUGAGGGUGAAAGCGGGGGAUCGCAAGACCUCGCGCUGGAAGAGCGGCCGAUGUCCGAUUAGCUAGUUGGUGAGGUAAAGGCUCACCAAGGCGACGAUCGGUAGCUGGUCUGAGAGGACGACCAGCCACACUGGGACUGAGACACGGCCCAGACUCCUACGGGAGGCAGCAGUGGGGAAUUUUGGACAAUGGGGGCAACCCUGAUCCAGCCAUGCCGCGUGCAGGAUGAAGGUCUUCGGAUUGUAAACUGCUUUUGUCAGGGACGAAAAGGGAUGCGAUAACACCGCAUUCCGCUGACGGUACCUGAAGAAUAAGCACCGGCUAACUACGUGCCAGCAGCCGCGGUAAUACGUAGGGUGCAAGCGUUAAUCGGAAUUACUGGGCGUAAAGCGUGCGCAGGCGGUUCUGUAAGAUAGAUGUGAAAUCCCCGGGCUCAACCUGGGAAUUGCAUAUAUGACUGCAGGACUUGAGUUUGUCAGAGGAGGGUGGAAUUCCACGUGUAGCAGUGAAAUGCGUAGAUAUGUGGAAGAACACCGAUGGCGAAGGCAGCCCUCUGGGACAUGACUGACGCUCAUGCACGAAAGCGUGGGGCGCAAACAGGAUUAGAUACCCUGGUAGUCCACGCCCUAAACGAUGUCUACUAGUUGUUGGGGACGAUAGUCCUUGGUAACGCAGCUAACGCGUGAAGUAGACCGCCUGGGGAGUACGGUCGCAAGAUUAAAACUCAAAGGAAUU
rnacentral:rRNA from 1 species